rnacentral:tRNA from 1 species
CGGGUGUAGCUCAAUGGCAGAGUAUCGGCUUCCCAAGCCGGUUACGCGGGUUCGAUCCCCGUCACCC